GAAAAGGAGCUCGUUUAUGAGCUUUAAAGUUUUAAUUUAAUGGAAGUAUUAUUUACUCUUUUCAG
rnacentral:tRNA from 1 species